UCCCAAACUGCUGUUACCUUUCUAAGCUUACUUUAUAUAUCAAGCAGCACCCUUUUAGGGUCACUUAAAGCCAUAUGCAUUGGGCAAGGAUACUAAUGACACAUACUUCUAAGCAGCUCAUACUACCAAAAUAUCAGUGAAAAGAAACAAAUGGAGAAUUUCCAGUGAAGUGGAAAGUGUUCAAUUUUUUGUAAAAGGUUUACCCACAAAAUAGAGAAAAAGGUACUGUUAGCUAUGCAUCUGCUUUUAGCUUCGUGUCGGCAGCAUUUUUUCCUCUGGCUAGAAUAUUUUGGUAGCAGAAAUAGAUGUUAAAUAGGUAAGGGGGAAAAAAAGCCCUGCAAAAACCUCCACUUCAAGCAUAUGUCUGUACACCAAGGAAGAGAAGAAUCUUCCCAAUUUUCAGUGAUUUCACCGUAAAUACAUACACAAACACAGACUAAGAGACUUGGUUCUCUCCCUCCCCCUAAAUCUUGGUAAGUACACUCUGCAGUUGUUUAAAAGUUACUGAAUUUGCCUCUUCCUAAUAUAAAUACUAGAAAUGCUAGAUCCAGCAAGAAACCCUCCUAAGAGCUAUAGAUGCAGCAUGGCUUUUCUGAUUGUCCACAACUCGGUCAUUAUCUGGCAUAAGGGGAAAAUGGGAGAAAAAGAGAAGGCAGGUGGGGGAUUCUGGCAGAAAUCUGGGAAACUUAGUAUUUCUAGAUGGUCCUUCCUGCUUGGAGUAGCUCCCCAAACCACCUGCUCAUUCUUGCAUGAUUUUAACCUUUCUCAGACUAGUAUUUUUCAAACAUCCAGCCAAAUGAAUGCUUAGCAGACAACAAAUAACAAAUAGUUUAUAGAUUAAUAGGAGUAAAAUACUAAUUUUCAAGGCAACCCCUCAUCCCUACCCCCAACUCAAAAUAAAAAUCUGUUCCUGUGAUUCCCAUCAGUUAUCUGCACUAAUUUAAACCAUAAGAGUAUUUGGUUACCUGGUCCACUACAAAACACAGAAAGAUAGGAAUAGCCUAAGAAAAUGAAUUAGUUAUAUCGCUUCCCUUGCAGCAGCUGUUUGUACUGGCAAAAAGCUCUCUCAUUCUAAGCCUACGGGCACAUCUGAAGCUCAGAAAUAAAAAAAAGUUAAUCUACAGUAAGAAUGUCUACAUGAGCACCACUGACAAAGUCCCACAGGCCAUCCUGUUUGCUUUUGUGUGUAAGAGUUAAUUAAUGAGGCUACUUUAUAGCAAUGAGCUCAAAAACUAUCAAAUACAAAAAGAACAUUUAACAGCUAUCAGAGCUAAGGGCAAAACUGCCACAUCUCUCUAGGGUAAAGAAUUUUUCACGUGUUUGCCAUAAGCUUAUUAUCUUUUCACAUUCCUCCAAACCAGAGUAUAUUGAUGCGUCCAGUGCUAAGCAGCCCAUCCAAUAUCACUGGCCUGAAAACAUUCUUCCCAUGCAUCUCUACUCAACCACCUCUUUCUCCUGGGAGAAGGAUCUGGUACGUUUUUUUGAAAGACUGAAGACUGGCAUUUGUAGUCAGCCCAGCUAAGGGUUUUUUAAGUAAAGCUAAACUUAAUUAAUCCUAAAAGUCAGUCACAUGGGAAGAAGCCUUCCUGAAUCCUGAGGGAUUUUGCAACCACAAACCAGAUCCUCAUAUCGACUCCACAUUAUCCUGUGUGGGAGUUGUAUACCCAAGUUAACUGAUGCAUAACAGUUAUUCCUAUCAUCUCCUCCAUUCACACGUAAUUACUCAUGAAUAUAUUCUUGUAUUGGAUUCUUUAAGAAGACAUCAAUUCUGUGAACUGCAGAAGUAGACAGGACCCAUUUUCAGUGCAAUAUUUUUAAUCACUUGGAUGCUAGGCUACACUUGCCAUUUCUGUUGAAAGACCUUACAAAGUAAUUUGAUUCAUCCCUCAGGUAGCAUAAGCACAUUACACUCUCAAAGUCUGUGACUUUGCUGCAAAUGACUCAGUGGAUGGGACUUCCUCCCUUGCUUUGGGAAAGGAGGAUCCAAAGCAUAGUAGAUUCACUGUCAAAAGGUUGCUCUUGCAAAGAACUUAAACUUCUCUUCUGAUGGCAAAGUAGUGAUCCUAGCUCUGCCCUCGAUAACAACUCCUCUUCUUUUAGUAUUUCCUGCUCCUCUUACAGGCAUAAAUCAGUGCUGAGAAGAACCUGCAUUUGCAGCUUGUAUCCAGAGGUAGCUGCUGUACUUUUUUUUUAUCUUGGAGCUGUAAACAACACAAAGCAAAGCAAAACCACUCAAAGCAAAAUGUUGCCCACUUCUUGGAUGGCUGAACAGUCCAGGAUCAUCCCAGGCAUUACUUAUCUCUCUGGAAGACAUUCAAGAUCUAAAGCAUUUCACUUCGUAAGUCUCUUUGGUGAAGCAGCUGUGGCUUAUUCUUGAGGAUACAUGGGCAACAGUACUACUACAGACCUUUAACAGUGUACACACUGGACUAAGGAAAUUUGUUUUACAAGCUGUAGAAGAAAACAAGGGUGUUAAUGAAUGUGGAUAAGCUGGACUAUACAGACAUGGUGAUGAAUUCCAACUAAAAACUAUACACGAUUUCCUUGGAAAUCAUGUCAAGCCAAAUACUGCAAUUACCAAGAAGAAACAAUAAACCAUGUCCAUUUGGCAUUGUGAAUAUCAGUAAAAUGUAGAGUGAAGAGAAUUUACAGUGUGAUGGCUGGGAGAAGCUUACUCCAGCAGGUUCUGAACAAGAUCCAUUUACCUGUGCCUUCACACCUAAACUUAUUUCUUUCAUUAAUGAACACUACUGAAAAGGACACAUUUCAAAACUGCUAUGAUCUUUGUCUCCUGCUCCUCACACAGCAUUUAAGGUGGGGAAGUGAGCAACAUAGCUGCACAGUCACAGAAGGAAUCAACAGCAGAGCUGGGAGCAUCACAUCGGAGUUCAGGUUUUUCACCCUUGGCUUUAACAACUCAACCCUCAGCUCUCCCCCUUGCUCGGUGACAAAUGUCACAAGACCUGAAGCCAGCAGCCUGCGCUGAGACAGAAAACAAAAGUAUGAGCUAACUAUUUCAAGUACCAGAAAUCCAUAUAUACACUUAGUGGGAUAAAACGGAGCACAACGGGACCUUCCACGGCAUUGCCUGUGUUUGAGUGAGCCUCUCGCUGCCCGCAAGCAGAGGGCUACUCGCAGGCACGACAGAGGCUACGUAAGGCAAAUCAAAGCAACCAUUCAGCAGGACGCAGCAGCUUUGCCACAGCCCGGAGGUUACUGUCCUGACGCCUGGACACUUGAUUUACUCAUCACAAUAGUCCAAUAUGAAGGUUACCCUGAACUUCAUGAUGCAGCGGGCUAAAACUCCGAUUGCUUUGCUCCAAUAACCUGCCACUUGAGCUAAAGGAAUUUAAAGGAAUUAUUUCUUUUCCUGUUAGCCUCACAACAGGACUGUUCUGGUCUAUCUGACAGAGGGCAGUAUUACACAAAACCAUGAGCUUGUUGAUUAUAAUAUAAUUUUACAAGCAAUUGCUUUAUUUAAGCAAUUGCCAAGAAAAAGCUUUAGAUUUGGUAGGAAUUAAUAGUUGUGAAAAACAGUAAAAUCUAAACGAAGCAAGCUUUAAAUAUUGAUUAAUUUUUGCUACAAUUAAUAGCACUCAGUAAUGUUUCUCAGACCAUAUAUGAAAUAAGAAAACUGAACUGAGCAUAAGAUCAUUGGUUCUUACUGGUGAAAGAAAAGCUAUCUUCUUUUUAUCCCUCUGCAAGCACAGGAAACAUAUCUUGGGUAAGUUAAAUGAAAUAAGUAAAUGAAAUAAUAACUCCAUGCUGGAGAUCUGAACAUAUCCUAUCGUUUCCCUCUUCUGGUAACUCUUAGCUUCAACAGAUAAGCCUUAUAUUGUUCUCCUGUGAGAAAAGUUCAGAGAUUUCAUCAUCUCAUUUUCCCUGUAGAACAAAUGAAUUCCUGUAAAACAACUGGGAUUUUAGAUAGGCUAAAAGUACGUGUAAGCAUGCUUUUUGUGCUGUCCUGAACGCUAUCUGCAAGGAAACUGGCUGCCCCUUCGUCCACUAACUUGAGCUGAUCCACUGAUGCCAGCUGAUGCAUCCUAACACACUGAGGCCUUCUGUGCCACUAACACAGCUACUUCAUUCAGCAAGAACAGAAUUAAGGAUACUGGGGAAUGCACCACUGUACAAGCCAGAGGAUGUUUUUUCUAUAUAGUGUUUCAAGUCUAAGCAGACACCUGAGAACUCAGCUUGUUUUCUUCUGCCUUAUGCAUUGUUGCCUAUUUACGAUGCAUAUGGCAGAAGACACUCCAGAUGCGUUUCCAGAAUUGUGUUCAAGUUAUACAAGUAAACGUCAGCAAAACAUUUUUUACCAGCAUCAGUAAAGAGGCAGACAUCACACAGUAACAAAGAGAAGACUGACUCCAUAGAGUGAAGAUGCGCUACCUUUAGAAACCUUAAGUACAUCCUACAUUUUUGUCUCCUAACCACAAAUGAACUAUGGACUGUAGGUUUUAGAAAUAAAUUCACAUAGUUAUCAUUUCAGUUGCAUGUGCACAGUGAUAUUCUUUUCCAAGGGCUGCGUUUUAUAAAAAGACCUAGGUAAGCCUGCACCCUGUGUAGCAUUUCCUGGCGCCUACAGCACAGAUAACAGGAGUUCUUACUCUAAAGACGUCAGCGUGCACAUACAAAUCUCCUAAAAAGCUGUUUAAGAAGUCAGUUUAGCAUUAUGCCAGUAAACCAUUCCUAAGAGUGAAAUGAUAAGAGAGUUUGAAAACUUUCCAGCUGCAAAAUUUGUCUUUCUUAAGGAACUGUGCGGACAUCCUGCGACUUCCAGCCCAAAGCCUCGGGGUGACACUCAGAACGUCAUUCAAAGCUUGGUGCCCCUUUGUGGACCCCCCCUUGGGCAGGUGGGGAGGGAAGGAGGGGAAGGGGAGGGGAAGAGGGACAACAGAGCGGUGGGGAGCUGAACACCAGCUUACGAACAGAGAACAGAAUCACAUAACAACACUGGACCAAUGGACUCCAAGACACACUGACAAGACAGAUGGACACAGACAAGACGUAAGAUCGCUACUGAGAAAUAAAAAAAAGAGCAAAAAAACCCAUAAAAUAAAGUAGAUCUAUAACGCUGAGGCUGCAAGAAGCAGCUGACAGUACUGGCAUAACUCUUCCAAAAAGACGAAAUUAUAAUACAACUAAAAAAUUAAAAUUGAAACGAUAUCCCCCCAAAUCAUACACUACGGACUUGCUCGGUUAGCCUGAAUGCGUAGCUCUGAUGAAACACAAGACGGCGUCAUCACAGCCCAUGCACGGAUUAAUGAAGGCCAUGGUUAGUUAAAUCAGCUAAACUACAGCAUGCCAUAAAAAUGAUCUUGCACUGACCCAGAAAUAAAAGAUACGACAGAUACUCUGCAUUGCAAUAAAAUUCUUUUUAUGCCAUCUGUGGUUUGUAGGGCUUUCUUUGUUGGAAGAAUUUUUCCUGGGAGA